GGCUACACCUUUCACGGCUACAUUCCAUUCACGGCUACACUCACAACUUUUGGCCACAGAAUGAUAUAAGUAGUAUUAGUACUUAGUAUAGUCGUGACAAGUACAAAAAUAUGAUAAUAUAUGUAGCUGAAUGUAAAUGGAUGGCAUUCAAUCCCCAUUCAGAAUCCCCCUAUUAUUCUUUAAUCAUCAUCAGGGUUCUGUAAUUUCCUGUUACGAUAGAUUCGUGAUGGAUCUUGGUUUCAAGUUUUCCAGUAAUCUAGACUUUUAGCUAGUAUAGAGUAGAUUCUCUAACUUUACUAUCCUUUAUACAUUUUAAAGUUCCACAAUACACCUCUCUUUCCACUACGACUUUUCUUGUCCCAUUGAGUAACCUAACCAAUUACUUAUCAAAUGAGUCUAUAAGAUGUAUAAUAUCUAAUGUCAAUGUUAACCCCACGUUUCUUAAUAAAUCACUUAUAUUUUCAUAUUUCAGCAAUUUGUAAUCAUUUACAUUUGUUAACUCUUUGCUUAUUGUUAUGACUUUCAAUUUAGAUACUAAGUGGAGCGAA